rnacentral:lncRNA from 1 species
AACAAUUACAUCAAAAAGCAAGGGAUCCCUGAGGAAUUCAAGGGUCUCAUGCCACACAUUAGGACUAGCAUAGGACCGGGCAGCUUUGGCCAAAGCAUGAGCCACCCCGUUGGCUUGUCUCUUGGCAAAACUCACAGAUACAUUAAUAAGAGAGUGAGAAAUAGAACGACAGACAUCUAAAAUGGAACCAAAUUCAUAAAGAUCCAAAGAAGGAUUGUUGAAAGAGUCCACCACCACUUUUGCGUCAACUUCGAUUGUCAUAUUUUACAGCUGCAGAGAAUAGAUCCAGCUAAGGGCUUCCUUGAGGCAGAGAGCUUCAGCUUCAACAGGAAAAAACAAACUCGCCAUGAUCUUCGACUUACACUGAAUUAGUUGUCGUCUAGACUCAGGAAUGACCAAGCCAAACCCCACCGUCUCAGAUUCAGCAGACUCGGUUGCAUCUGUAUUAGACUUAUAACUAGAGUUUGUGGCGGGAUCCCAUUUACAUAGAUAUGGUAGCAUACUGCAAUAUAUUGUUGGAUUAACUUUCAUCUUAACAACUCUUCAUUGCUCUAGAAAGACCAUGCACGAAGAGGCAACAUUAGAUGGAUCCAC